rnacentral:misc_RNA from 1 species
UCCCCGUUGCCGGGGCAGUCUAGCCAGAGAAAUUCAACUGACUAUAAGGGUUGCGCUCGUUGAUGGACUUAACCAAACAUCUCACGACACGAGCUGACGACGGCCAUGCAUCACCUGUCACUGGGUUCCAAAAGGCACAGUCUCCUUUCGGAGACCUUCCCAGGAUGUCAAGCCUUGGUAAGGUUCUUCGCUUAUCAUCGAAUUAAACAACACGCUCCACCGCUUGUGCGGGUCCCCGUCUAUUCCUUUAUGUUUUAAGCUUGCGCUCGUACUCCACAGGCGGGAUGCUUAACGCGUUAGCUUCGCUACUACCGGGGUCGAUACCGAUAACAGCUAGCAUCCAUAGUUUACGGCGUGGACUAC